rnacentral:rRNA from 1 species
CUAUCAGCUUGUUGGUAAGGUAGUGGCUUACCAAGGCUAUGACGGAUAGCUGGUCUGAGAGGAUGAUCAGUCACAAUGGAACUGAGACACGGUCCAUACUCCUACGGGAGGCAGCAGUGAGGAAUCUUCCACAAUGGACGAAAGUCUGAUGGAGCGACACCGCGUGAAGGAUGAAGGUCUAACGAUUGUAAACUUCUUUUCUGAGGGAGCAUAAUGAGAGUACCUCAGGAAUAAGGGGCGGCUAAUUACGUGCCAGCAGCCGCGGUAAUACGUAAGCCCCAAGCGUUAUCCGGAAUUACUGGGUGUAAAGGGUUUGUAGGCGGUUUAAUAAGUUGGAUGUGAAAGACCGAAGCUCAACUUCGUGUUUGUAUUCAAAACUGUUAAACUAGAAUCAGGGAGAGGUAAGCGGAAUUCUGAGUGUAGGGGUGCAAUCCGUAGAUACUCAGAGGAACACCAAAAGCGAAGGCAGCUUACUGGAACUGUAUUGACGUUCAUAAACGAAAGCGUGGGUAGCGAAAAGGAUUAGAUACCCUUGUAGUCCACGCCCUAAACGAUGAAUAACUAAGUGUUGGGACUAGCUCCCAGUGCUGUAGCUAACGCGUUAAGUUAUCCACCUGAGGAGUACGGUCGCAAGAUUAAAACUCAAAGGAAUAGACGGGGACCCACACAAGCAGUGGAUCACGUGGUUUAAUUCGACAAUAAACGGGGAACCUUACCCAGACUUGACAUCUAUCGAAUCUUUCAGAAAUGAGAGAGUGCUUUUAUUAGAGCGGUAAGACAGGUGCUGCAUGGUUGUCGUCAGCUCGUGCCUUGAGGUGUUCGGUUAAGUCCGUUAACGAGCGCAACCCAUGUCUUUAGUUAUUAUGUCUAAAGAGACUGCCUUGGUUAACAAGGAGGAAGGUGUGGAUGACGUCAAAUCAGCAUGGCUCUUACGUCUAGGGCUACAAACAUGAUACAAUGGUCGAUACAAAGAGAGGCAAUAUAGUGACAUGGAGCAAAUCUCAAAAAGUCGAUCUAAGUCCGGAUUGGAGUCUGAAACUCGACUCCAUGAAGUUGGAAUUGCUAGUAAUCGUGAAUCAGAUAUGUCACGGUGAAUGUGUUCCUGGGUCUUGUACUCACCGCCCGUCAUGGCAUGGAAGGAAGUAAUAUCGGAAGUCCCUCUAGUAAUAAGAGGGCCCAUAGUAGAACUGCUGACUGGGCUA